rnacentral:tRNA from 1 species
CGAUCGCGCGCCGCAGGGCGGCCAGGGUGGCGUGCUCGGGCCGCGCCGGGGUCGGCGGUUCGGUCGCCGUCACGUUCACC